rnacentral:rRNA from 1 species
AGAGUUUGAUCCUGGCUCAGGAUGAACGCUGGCGGCGUGCCUAAUACAUGCAAGUCGAGCGAACGGACGAGAAGCUUGCUUCUCUGAUGUUAGCGGCGGACGGGUGAGUAACACGUGGAUAACCUACCUAUAAGACUGGGAUAACUUCGGGAAACCGUAGCUAAUACCGGAUAAUAUUUUGAACCGCAUGGUUCAAAAGUGAAAGACGGUCUUGCUGUCACUUAUAGAUGGAUCCGCGCUGCAUUAGCUAGUUGGUAAGGUAACGGCUUACCAAGGCAACGAUGCAUAGCCGACCUGAGAGGGUGAUCGGCCACACUGGAACUGAGACACGGUCCAGACUCCUACGGGAGGCAGCAGUAGGGAAUCUUCCGCAAUGGGCGAAAGCCUGACGGAGCAACGCCGCGUGAGUGAUGAAGGUCUUCGGAUCGUAAAACUCUGUUAUUAGGGAAGAACAUAUGUGUAAGUAACUGUGCACAUCUUGACGGUACCUAAUCAGAAAGCCACGGCUAACUACGUGCCAGCAGCCGCGGUAAUACGUAGGUGGCAAGCGUUAUCCGGAAUUAUUGGGCGUAAAGCGCGCGUAGGCGGUUUUUUAAGUCUGAUGUGAAAGCCCACGGCUCAACCGUGGAGGGUCAUUGGAAACUGGAAAACUUGAGUGCAGAAGAGGAAAGUGGAAUUCCAUGUGUAGCGGUGAAAUGCGCAGAGAUAUGGAGGAACACCAGUGGCGAAGGCGACUUUCUGGUCUGUAACUGACGCUGAUGUGCGAAAGCGUGGGGAUCAAACAGGAUUAGAUACCCUGGUAGUCCACGCCGUAAACGAUGAGUGCUAAGUGUUAGGGGGUUUCCGCCCCUUAGUGCUGCAGCUAACGCAUUAAGCACUCCGCCUGGGGAGUACGACCGCAAGGUUGAAACUCAAAGGAAUUGACGGGGACCCGCACAAGCGGUGGAGCAUGUGGUUUAAUUCGAAGCAACGCGAAGAACCUUACCAAAUCUUGACAUCCUUUGACAACUCUAGAGAUAGAGCCUUCCCCUUCGGGGGACAAAGUGACAGGUGGUGCAUGGUUGUCGUCAGCUCGUGUCGUGAGAUGUUGGGUUAAGUCCCGCAACGAGCGCAACCCUUAAGCUUAGUUGCCAUCAUUAAGUUGGGCACUCUAAGUUGACUGCCGGUGACAAACCGGAGGAAGGUGGGGAUGACGUCAAAUCAUCAUGCCCCUUAUGAUUUGGGCUACACACGUGCUACAAUGGACAAUACAAAGGGCAGCGAAACCGCGAGGUCAAGCAAAUCCCAUAAAGUUGUUCUCAGUUCGGAUUGUAGUCUGCAACUCGACUACAUGAAGCUGGAAUCGCUAGUAAUCGUAGAUCAUCAUGCUACGGUGAAUACGUUCCCGGGUCUUGUACACACCGCCCGUCACACCACGAGAGUUUGUAACACCCGAAGCCGGUGGAGUAACCUUUUAGGAGCUAGCCGUCGAAGGUGGGACAAAUGAUUGGGGUGAAGUCGUAACAAGGUAGCCGUAUCGGAAGGUGCGGCUGGAUCACCU